UCGCCACCCCCGCGGCCAGGGACUGGCCUA
rnacentral:sRNA from 1 species